rnacentral:rRNA from 1 species
UACAGAGGGUGCGAGCGUUGUCCGGAAUCACUGGGCGUAAAGGGCGCGUAGGUGGUGGCUUAAGCGUGCGGUGAAAGCUCGGAGCUCAACUCCGAGUCGGCCGUGCGAACUGGGCUCACUGGAGCAUAGUAGAGGCAGGUGGAAUUCCGGGUGUAGCGGUGGAAUGCGUAGAGAUCCGGAAGAACACCGAUGGCGAAGGCGGCCUGCUGGGCUAUGGCUGACACUGAGGCGCGAAAGCGUGGGGAGCGAACAGG